rnacentral:rRNA from 1 species
CAGUAGCCGCGGGAAUACAGAGGGUGCAAGCGUUAAUCGGAAUUACUGGGCGUAAAGCGCGCUUAGGUGGUUUGUUAAGUUGGAUGUGAAAUCCCCGGGCUCAACCUGGGAACUGCAUCCAAAACUGGCAAGCUAGAGUAUGGUAGAGGGUGGUGGAAUUUCCUGUGUAGCGGUGAAAUGCGUAGAUAUAGGAAGGAACACCAGUGGCGAAGGCGACCACCUGGACUGAUACUGACACUGAGGUGCGAAAGCGUGGGGAGCAAACAGGAUUAGAUACCCCCGUAGUCCCUGUCUCUUAUAC